UUGGCUCGAGUGGCGAACGGGUGAGUAACACGUGAGUAACCUGCCCUUGCUUUGGGAUAACUUCAGGAAACUGGGGCUAAUACCGGAUAGGAGCUCCUGCUGCAUGGUGGGGGUUAGAAAGUUUCGGCGGUUGGGGAUGGACUCGCGGCUUAUCAGCUUGUUGGUGGGGUAGUGGCUUACCAAGGCUUUGACGGGUAGCCGGCCUGAGAGGGUGACCGGCCACAUUGGGACUGAGAUACGGCCCAG
rnacentral:rRNA from 1 species